AGCUCCAAUAGCGUAUAUUAAAGUUGUUGCAGUUAAAAAGCUCGUAGUUGGAUUUCUGGUUGGAGCGACCGGUCGGGCAUUGAUUUGUCUGCACUGGAGUCGGUUCUGGCCAUCCUCUUGGAAAGUGCGUCUGUCAUUAAGUUGUCGGGCGUAUGAUCCAGGUCUUUUACUGUGAAAAAAUUAGAGUGUUUAAAGCAGGCCUUCGCCUUGAAUACAUUAGCAUGGAAUAAUAAGAUAGGACUUUGGUCUAUUUUGUUGGUUUGCAGACCGAAGUAAUGAUUAAUAGGGAUAGUUGGGGGUAUUUAUAUUCCAAUGUCAGAGGUGAAAUUCUUAGAUUUUUGGAAGAUAAACUUAUGCGAAAGCAUUUACCAAGGAUGUUUUCAUUA
rnacentral:rRNA from 1 species